CGCAACAACAACCCGCGCGAUAUCAUAUCGGCGAUUUUACAUGGGAAUCUGGUCUAUUUUCGACCAAGCUUCGCUUCAAACGAUUUAAUAAUAUGAAAUCGACCAAUAAAGCAAUAAAUUAUCUAUCGUAUGCAGGAAGCAUACAAUAACGAUGUAAGAAUUGAUCAAGUAACAGAGAGACAUAACGUUGAGGCAGUAACAUUAUCAUUUGUUGCUGUAUACACGUACGUGUAUAUUCUACAUUAUUCAUUUGUCUUCGCUAAUAGGAUAAUACUGAUAAUAAUAACAGUAAUAACUCAUAAGCGUUCCAGGGAAAAAUAGGUCCAUAGUAUUCUCUUUGUCGUACAAGGCGAUUAAAAGGGAACCCCACAAAGAAUAGAGACGAGAAAUAAAAAAAAGCCACAAAAAUGUCGCUUUCUGGAGUGUGCCAAAGUGAGUCUGGAGUCGAUUCUGGGCACGACACCACACGAACCAUCGAUGAUAAGGAUUUGAGCAAACGAAACCUUAUCGGACAAUUCGAAGAAAGUGCAGCCAAGAUACAGACUGAAAAUGUUUUAAAAGAAUAACCGAAAAUUAUCGGGAAACCAAGUUAAUGCUUGAUAUGUACUGACAAAAUGUACGAAACGGUCAACUGUCAUCAAAUCUUGCUAUUACAUCUUAACUAAACUGCAAAUUAACAGGAUAUAGAGGAAAUUAACACAUGAUAAACUUUGCAUCGAUAAAUAUUUACAUCUAAAAGAAAGAUGGAAUCGGAAAUCAAAAAAGAAUUAUAAUAAAAACAAUAGAAUCAUAAAAAAAUACUACAGAAAAUAAAAGAAGAAACCACUCAAAGAUAUAAAUAUCCAGACUGAUAUAUAAGAAAACAGAGAACAGAUAUCAAAACAGACACAUCCAGACAAAACAAAAGUUGCAAUAGAGAUAAAUAUACAGACCGAAGAAAUAAAUAAUGAAGAAAUAAUUGGAAGAAAAAGAAAUAAUAUAUCAAUUGGGAAAAUACAUCAAACUAUCAGUCAACAAUACAGAUUCGAAGAAACUACACAUCAUCAUAUAUGAAGUCGCAAUAGUAAGAAUAUAACAAAUAAAAAUUAUCAAAACACAAUCAAUAUAAAAUAACAGAACAAAAAGAAACAAUAUGGAGGACCAGUAAUAAAUCAAGAACAAAAUAAACAAAACUUAGAAAGAAUAUAAGCAGACUGACAAAGAUCAUCGAAAGAAAUAAAACUAAGAAAACCACGAAGCAUAUAAAGAAUAUAAAUAAAUCAAUCAAUCAUAAUAGAAUUUAGCAAGAUAUAUUGGAUACACGAAAUCGAAAACUAUUCGUAUAUGCAGCCAGACUAGAAAGAUAUAAUGAAUCAACAGAAGGAAAAAAGGAAAUAAAAUUUUCCAAAUCAAUGCAAACUUAUUCUAUCAAAUAAUCUCAACAUCGAUAGCAAACAAAAAAAUAGAAACUCCGAUUGAAGAACAAAUAAUAGAAUUAUGGAAACAAAUAUGAUUAAACGCAAUAUAAAACAUACUUAACACUAAUUGGAUAAUAAAAGAAAAAAAUAGAUCAUGUUACAGAACAACAAUGUUACAGAAUAUAUAAUAAGAUUAGAACUCACAGAAACUAUCAUAAACAUAUAAUUGAAAAUUUCCAGGAACAGAUCGAGUACAAAACUUUCGGUACAAAUAAUCCACGACAACACUUUAUAUCUGAUAAUACAAAUUAAUGAAAAUAUGAAACAUCCAAACUAAUUUCUAGCAUUCUUAACUGAAGGUAAAACAUUUAUUAUAUAAAAAAAUCAAGGCAUAUAAAACUUAAUAAAUCGUAGACCGAUAACAUGUUUCACGACUUUAUAAAAAAUCAUAAAAGGAACCAUUUGUAAAAAAAAGUAGUAAAGAAAAAAUAGUAAAAAACGUAACGAACGCAUAAUAAUAGAUAAUAUAAUCAUGAGACAAUCAACAAAUCAUCAGCGAAACUUACAUAAAUAUUAUAUGUAUUAUAAGAAAAACCUUCGAUUUUGUAUCACACUCCUAAUUACAAGAAAUAUUAAAUAUAUACAAAAUAAAUACAAAAAUACAAAGUUUCCUCAAACAAAUUAUGUAAAAAUGGAAAAUCAAACUAUGUACUUUAGAAAAGAAAAGCAUAAAAAUUUAGACAAUAGAAAUCAAAAGAAGGAAUCUUUCAAGGAAAAUUGAUGAGUUCCUUGUGAUUUUGCAUGAGCAUAAAUCGAUUAUGUCAAAUGUAUCAAAUAAGAAAAAAUAUUAUAAAAUAGUACAAAAUAGCAUACAAUAAUACUAAAAUAUUAUACAAUAAACCAUUUAAUGUAUAUGAUUAAUGUAUAUGGACGAUAAGUAUAGCGACAAAAACAUAACUAAGAGAAUAUAAAAAUGAAAUUUAGAAUAUAAUGUAAAGCUGUGCACAUAGAAAAAGACAAAUAUGUAAGAGAUAGGCAGGCGAUGGAGUAUGUGUGAUCACGUAUAGUAAUGCCAUUCCGUUUACGUUUGGGAAUUCUGGGUGAUUGCAGCACGUAUCGAGAAAAAAACAAAAAAAAAACAAAUAAGAACUUUUAAGUAUACGUUAAAACUUGCGUUUUUCUCGCUGUAUAAAAAAAAAAAUGGCAAGCGAACAUAAAAAGAUUCUUAUGAAAUUAAAUGUCGCAGAAUUAAAGAAAACUGCAGCAGAUCGGUCUCAAUA